rnacentral:rRNA from 1 species
UACGGAGGGUGCGAGCGUUAUCCGGAAUCACUGGGCGUAAAGGGCGCGUAGGCGGCUCGUGAAGUCAGUGGUGAAAGCCCAGGGCUCAACUCUGGGUCGGCCACUGAUACUCGCGAGCUCGAGUUUGGUAGAGGCAGAUGGAAUUCCGGGUGUAGCGGUGGAAUGCGUAGAGAUCCGGAAGAACACCGGUGGCGAAGGCGGUCUGCUGG